GGGCACAUGGUGUAGUUGGUUAUCACGCUCGCUUAGCACUCAAGGUCAAGUGGAUUGCGAGAGGUGUUGGGUUCAAUUCCCAAUGUGUCCA